GACGAACGCUGGCGGCGUGCCUAAUACAUGCAAGUCGAGCGCAGGAAACCGUCUGAACCCUUCGGGGGGACGACGGCGGAAUGAGCGGCGGACGGGUGAGUAACACGUAAAGAACCUGCCCAUAGGUCUGGGAUAACCACGAGAAAUCGGGGCUAAUACCGGAUGUGUCAUCGGACCGCAUGGUCCGCUGAUGAAAGGCGCUCCGGCGCCGCCCAUGGAUGGCUUUGCGGUGCAUUAGCUAGUUGGUGGGGUAACGGCCCACCAAGGCGACGAUGCAUAGCCGACCUGAGGGGGUGAUCGGCCACACUGGGACUGAGACACGGCCCAGACUCCUACGGGAGGCAGCAGUAGGGAAUCUUCCACAAUGGACGAAAGUCUGAUGGAGCAACGCCGCGUGAACGAUGAAGGCUUUCGGGUCGUAAAGUUCUGUUGUAAGGGAAGAACAAGUGCCGCAGGCAAUGGCGGCACCUUGACGGUACCUUGCGAGAAAGCCACGGCUAACUACGUGCCAGCCGCCGCGGUAAGAC
rnacentral:rRNA from 1 species